rnacentral:rRNA from 1 species
GCGUGGCGAGCGUCUUCUAUGCAGUCGAACGAUGCCGCCUAGCUUGCUGGGUGGAUUAGUGGCGAACGGGUGAGUAACACGUGAGUAACCUGCCCCUGACUCUGGGAUAAGCCUGAGAAAUUGGGUCUAAUACCGGAUAUGAACAUUUAUCGCAUGGUGGGUGUUGGAAAGAUUUUUUGGUUGGGGAUGGGCUCGCGGCCUAUCAGCUUGUUGGUGAGGUAGUGGCUCACCAAGGCGACGACGGGUAGCCGGCCUGAGAGGGUGACCGGCCACACUGGGACUGAGACACGGCCCAGACUCCUACGGGAGGCAGCAGUGGGGAAUAUUGCACAAUGGGCGAAAGCCUGAUGCAGCGACGCCGCGUGAGGGAUGACGGCCUUCGGGUUGUAAACCUCUUUCAGUAAGGAAGAAGCGAAAGUGACGGUACUUGCAGAAGAAGCGCCGGCUAACUACGUGCCAGCAGCCGCGGUAAUACGUAGGGCGCGAGCGUUAUCCGGAAUUAUUGGGCGUAAAGAGCUCGUAGGCGGUUUGUCGCGUCUGCCGUGAAAGUCCGGGGCUUAACUCCGGAUCUGCGGUGGGUACGGGCAGGCUAGAGUGCAGUAGGGGAGACUGGAAUUCCUGGUGUAGCGGUGAAAUGCGCAGAUAUCAGGAGGAACACCGAUGGCGAAGGCAGGUCUCUGGGCUGUAACUGACGCUGAGGAGCGAAAGCAUGGGUAGCGAACAGGAUUAGAUACCCUGGUAGUCCAUGCCGUAAACGUUGGGCACUAGGUGUGGGGGACAUUCCACGUUUUCCGCGCCGU